rnacentral:lncRNA from 1 species
ACCACCUGCUGGUGCCUCCAUCCUUGGCUCUCAGCAUAACAUUACAACCAUGCACCUAACAGGUGUUUCCAAAGCUCUCUCCAGCCCUGUGUUUACAAGCUCACUUAUUUGUGCAAUAGUUUUGAAUGCUUUGGGAUACUUUUCAUUUAAGGAAAAAAGCAACAAAACCUAAUUGCCCGUGAUGGAAAAUAACCCACUUCACAGACACAGAAAUGUGCUAAAAGGCAAGUUGUGUUUCUUUCUUGUAUCUAAGGAAAUGGUCCCACUGAGGCCCAAGACUUGACAGUGGAAGUCUUGCCAAUUUAAAGUCUAAUGAAGAUUGUGAAUUAUUGACUGGCACAAGUAGAGCUUCCUGCACUCAAUGAUGGACAACUGAAGGCCUGUGCUAGCACUCUGUUUGGUACUUAGGAGAGUGUGGCUCAAUUUUUCCACUUUCUUUAAGAUGUGAAACUUCAGUCAACCUCUUUGUGUCAGAUUCCCUCCAUCUUGAAAACAAUUUCUGCCGCCUCCUACCUUCUCUGCUACAGGAUGACUAAUGUCCGUGCAGAACUGCAGGACUUCUGAAAGAACCACAUGCUUUUGGGGCCAGAGGAAGCCAACCACCUGGCUGUGUGUUCCCCUUCUUUCAUCUCCUACUGCUAAGGGCCUUGGCCUCUGAAGGGCAGCAACAAGAGCACCAGCUAACUUUCUUGAAAAUUCACUCUGCCAGAAGCCCUGCUGAGAGCUCUACACACCUUCGUCUAUUUAAUCAUCCCAAAGACACUGUUGGGAGGUAUAGUUACCAGCCCCAUUUAGCAGGUUGGGAGACUCCGAGGUUGUCACCUGCCAAAGGCCACAGACCUAGAAAGUGUUAGAACUGGGACAAACCCACAUCGGAAUGAUUCCAAAGCCCUUACUCUUAGCAGUAAGACCUCGAUGUCUCCCUGGCAUUGUUAGGAGUCCUCAAAUCCAUUGUCUAUGGACUGAGUACAAAAUACAUACAUAUUCUAUAGAGAAUAAUAACAUAUAAAUUCAUCAUUAAUACAUUCCUUGGAGCUUAUUAUAUUCUCAGUUAAUUGUGUACAAAAAUUGCAUCAACUCAAAAAUGCUGGCAUUCUCUGUCCUUCAGUCGUUAUCCCUGUGUCCUCUGUGUACAGUACUGAUUAGCUUGUCUGGUGCCAUUACUCAUCUCCCAGUGUUUGUGUCACUUCUUCAACAAGGUAAACUCCUAGUAAGUGGGACUACAGAAAAUAGGGUUUCUUUUGAGUCCUGCCUGGUCCCACUCCAAGGUCUUACACUUGAUAGAUACAGAUUUAGCUAACUGGUUGAUUACAACAACCUCUGUAAUACUCCUCCUCAUAUUGGCCCACAGAAUGAUACAUCUCAAGUCUCCUGCCCUGUAUCCCGCUGGAGAUGCCCUAAUGUGGCCUGCAUGCUUCCAACAGCCCAGACUGUAAUGAAAAUAGCUACCAUGUAUUCAGCACGUUCUGUUCACUAGGCUCUAUACUCGGUGCAGGGGAUACUGUUGUGAAGAAAACAAAGCGCAGAGCUCAGCUAUUGUAUUAAUGCAAUGUGGGAUGGCAUUUCAUUAACAUAACCACCUAGAGGAGGGUAUCAUCUUCUCCCUUUUACUGAUGGAAAAGUUGUAGAGGAGCAGAACUUGAACUAGGGUUUAUCUCAAUAUGUUUUGAUUUGUGGGUCACUACCCAUUGUUGGAUUAAUGGGUGCUAAAUGUAUUUAGUGGGUCAUAACUAACAUUUAUUUUAAUGGAUUGGUUUGGGAUGGAAGGACCAGAGUACAUAGCAUGUAAUAGAAGUAUUAUUUGCUGAAACUUUUGUUUCAUUUACAUACAGACAUAUAGAGAGUUGCAAUAUAUUUCUUACUGUGAGUCAUGUCAGAAAACAUAUGAAAGCCACUGGUUUGUUCAAAUCCCAAUCUGUUCUUCUA